AUUGAACGCUGGCGGCAGGCCUAACACAUGCAAGUCGAGCGGAGCGGCGGACGGGUGAGUAAUUCCUAGGAAUCUGCCUGUUCGUGGGGGAUCACGUCCGGCAACGGGCGCUAAUCCCGCAUACUAUCAGAUGAGCCUAGGUCGGAUUAGCUAGUUGGUGGGGUAAAGGCCUACCAAGGCGACGAUCCGUAACUGGUCUGAGAGGAUGAUCAGUCACACUGGAACUGAGAAACGGUCCAGACUCCUACGGGAGGCAGAGGGGGGGAAUAUUGGACAAUGGGGGAAAGCCUGAGCCAGUCAUGCCGCGUGUGUGAAGAAGGUCUUCGGAGUGUAAAGCACUUUAAGUUGGGAGGCGGUACCAACAGAAUAAGCACCGGCUAACUUCGUGCCAGCAGCCGCGGUAAUUC
rnacentral:rRNA from 1 species